rnacentral:rRNA from 1 species
UGGGGAAUAUUGGACAAUGGGCGCAAGCCUGAUCCAGCCAUGCCGCGUGAGUGAUGAAGGCCCUAGGGUUGUAAAGCUCUUUCGCCAGGGACGAUAAUGACGGUACCUGGAUAAGAAGCCCCGGCUAACUUCGUGCCAGCAGCCGCGGUAAUACGAAGGGGGCUAGCGUUGUUCGGAAUCACUGGGCGUAAAGCGCACGUAGGCGGAUCUUUAAGUCAGGGGUGAAAUCCCGAGGCUCAACCUCGGAACUGCCUUUGAUACUGGAGGUCUCGAGUCCGGGAGAGGUGAGUGGAACUGCGAGUGUAGAGGUGAAAUUCGUAGAUAUUCGCAAGAACACCAGUGGCGAAGGCGGCUCACUGGCCCGGUACUGACGCUGAGGUGCGAAAGCGUGGGGAGCAAACAGAUUAGAUACCCUGGUAGUCCACGCCGUAAACUAUGGAUGCUAGCCGUUGGGCAGCUUGCUGUUCAGUGGCGCAGCUAACGCUUUAAGCAUCCCGCCUGGGGAGUACGGUCGCAAGAUUAAAACUCAAAGGAAUUGACGGGGUCAUAGCUGUUUCCU